UCGUAAGGUGGGAUAAUCCUGACCUGUUCCUCCUUUUGGAGGGCAGAUUGGAACAUGAUGAUUGGAGUUUGCAUGAUUUGUGAUUAUCGUUUCUGCAGUAAUCAGGACUUAAAUCACCCUGAUUGCUCCUUUCUGAU